AAGAAACAAAGGCAAAGCCUCAUACAAACUUUAGCUUUACCAUCAAAGCCUUGAGAAGAAAGAAGAAGCUUGGUUAGUGUUUUGGAGUCAAAUAUUACUAGAUGUCAUGUGUAUGAGUGAGUAUGACAACUAGAACCAUAACCGGAUCUUAAAAACCUAAGUAUUGAAUCUUUGUUAGAAGAUACAAAGACAAAGACUCAUACGGACUUCGACUACACUAUCAAAGCUUUGAGAAGCAAGAAGAAGCUUGGUUAGUGUUUUGGAUUCGAAUAUGACUUGAUGUCAUGUGUAUGACUCAGUAUAAACACUAGAACCGCAACGGAUCUUAAAAGCAUAAGUAUUGUAUCAUUGUUAGAAGAUACAAUGACGAAGACUCAUACGGACUUCGACUACACCAUCAAAGCUUGGAGAAGCAAGAAGCAGUUGGUUAGUGUUUUGGAGUCGAAUAUGACUUGAUGUCAUGUGUAUGAGUGAGUAUAAAAACUAGAACCGCAACGGAUCUUAAAAGCCUAAAUAUUGUAUCCUUGUUAGAAGAUACAUAGACAAAGUCUCAUACGGAAUUCGGCUAAACCAUCAAAGCUUUUAGAAGCAAGAAGAAGCUUGGUUAGUGUUUUGGAGUGAAAUCUAACUAGAUGUCAUGUGUAUGAGUGAGUAUACCAACUAGAACCACAAUUAGAAUUUUAAAAGCCUAAGUAUUAUAUCCUUUUUAGAAGAUACAAAGACAAACACUCAUACGGACUUUGGUUACACCAUCAAAGCGUUGAGAAGCAAGAAGAAGCUUGGUUAGUGUUUUGGAGUCGAAUAUGACUUGAUGUGAUGUGUAUGAUUGAGUAUAAGAAAUUAAACCGCAACCGGAUCUUAAAAGCCUAGGUAUUGUUUCCUUGUUA
rnacentral:sRNA from 1 species